rnacentral:rRNA from 1 species
UUGCCAGCAGGCGCGGUAAUACGUAGGUGGCGAGCGUUGUCCGGAUUUACUGGGCGUAAAGGGUGCGUAGGCGGAUGUUUAAGUGGGAUGUGAAAUCCCCGGGCUUAACCUGGGGGCUGCAUUCCAAACUGGAUAUCUAGAGUGCAGGAGAGGAAAGCGGAAUUCCUAGUGUAGCGGUGAAAUGCGUAGAGAUUAGGAAGAACACCAGUGGCGAAGGCGGCUUUCUGGACUGUAACUGACGCUGAGGCACGAAAGCGUGGGUAGCAAACAGGAUUAGAUACCCUGGUAGUCCACGCCGUAAACGAUGGAUACUAGGUGUAGGGGGUAUCAACUCCCCCUGUGCCGCAGUUAACACAAUAAGUAUCCCGCCUGGGGAGUACGGUCGCAAGAUUAAAACUCAAAGGAAUUGACGGGGGCCCGCACAAGCAGCGGAGCAUGUGGUUUAAUUCGAAGCAACGCGAAGAACCUUACCUGGACUUGACAUCCCUUGCAUAGCCUAGAGAUAGGUGAAGCCCUUCGGGGCAAGGAGACAGGUGGUGCAUGGUUGUCGUCAGCUCGUGUCGUGAGAUGUUAGGUUAAGUCCUGCAACGAGCGCAACCCUUGUUAUUAGUUGCUACCAUUAAGUUGAGCACUCUAAUGAGACUGCCUGGGUAACCAGGAGGAAGGUGGGGAUGACGUCAAAUCAUCAUGCCCCUUAUGUCCAGGGCUACACACGUGCUACAAUGGUAGGUACAAUAAGACGCAAGACCGUGAGGUGGAGCAAAACUUAUAAAACCUAUCUCAGUUCGGAUUGUAGGCUGCAACUCGCCUACAUGAAGCUGGAGUUGCUAGUAAUCGCGAAUCAGAAUGUCGCGGUGAAUACGUUCCCGGGCCUUGUACACACCGCCCGUCACACCAUGAGAGCUGGUAACACCCGAAGUCCGUGAGGUAACCGUAAGGAGCCAGCGGCCGAA